CGCCUGUUUAUCAAAAACAUCUCUUCUCGUUAGUUUUUGAAGUAUGGCCUGCCCACUGACCUUGAAUGUUGAAGGGCCGCGGUAUUUUGACCGUGCAAAGGUAGCAUAGUCAUUAGUUCUUUAAUUGUGAUCUGGUAUGAAUGGCUUGACGAGGCAUGGGCUGUCUUAAUUUUGAAUUGUUUAUUGAAUUUGGUCUUUGAGUUAAAAUUCUUAGAUGUUUUUAUGGGACGAGAAGACCCUAUAGAGUUUGACAUUUAUUAUGGUCUCUUUCUGUUUGUGAGGGUUCACUAGGGCUGUUUAAUAUGUUUUGUUGGGGUGAUGGGAGGGAUAUAAUUUAACCCCUCCUUUGUGUUGUUAUAUUUAUUUAUAUUUGUUUGAUCCAUUUAUUUUGAUUGUAAGAUUAAAUUACCUUAGGGAUAACAGCGUAA
rnacentral:rRNA from 1 species